GGAUUAGAUACCCUGGUAGUCCACGCCGUAAACGAUGAGGACUAGCCGUUGGGGGGAAUUAACCCUUCAGUGGCGCAGCUAACGCAUUAAGUUCUCCGCCUGGGGACUACGGCCGCAAGGCUAAAACUCAAAUGAAUUGACGGGGGCCCGCACAAGCGGUGGAGCAUGUGGUUUAAUUCGAUGCAACGCGAAGAACCUUACCUACCCUUGAAAUCCAGCGAAGUUUUCAGAGAUGAGAAUGUGCCUUCGGGAACGCUGUGACAGGUGUUGCAUGGCUGUCGUCAGCUCGUGCCG
rnacentral:rRNA from 1 species